AUUGAACGCUGGCGGCAGGCCUAACACAUGCAAGUCGAACGAGUGGCGGACGGGUGAGUAAUGUCUGGGAAACUGCCUGAUGGAGGGGGAUAACUACUGGAAACGGUAGCUAAUACCGCAUACCAUCAGAUGUGCCCAGAUGUGAUUAGCUAGUUGGUGGGGUAACGGCUCACCAAGGGGACGAUCCCUAGCUGGUCUGAGAGGAUGACCAGCCACACUGGAACUGAGACACGGUCCAGACUCCUACGGGAGGCAGCAGUGGGGAAUAUGGCACAAUGGGCGCAAGCAUGAUGCAGCCAUGCAGCGUGUAUGAAGAAGGACGUCGGGUUGUAAAGUACGUUCAGCGGGGAGGCGUUACCCGCAGAAGAAGCACCGGCUAACUCCGUGCCAGAGCCGCGGUAAUUC
rnacentral:rRNA from 1 species